rnacentral:rRNA from 1 species
UACGUAGGGUGCGAGCGUUAAUCGGAAUUACUGGGCGUAAAGCGUGCGCAGGCGGUUUUGUAAGACAGAUGUGAAAUCCCCGGGCUUAACCUGGGAACUGCGUUUGUGACUGCAAGACUAGAGUGUGGCAGAGGGGGGUGGAAUUCCACGUGUAGCAGUGAAAUGCGUAGAGAUGUGGAGGAACACCGAUGGCGAGGGCAGCCCCCUGGGUUAACACUGACGCUCAUGCACGAAAGCGUGGGUAGCAAACAGG